rnacentral:rRNA from 15 species
UCCUCACCGCCGAAGUAUUUAUUAAUAGGAGCAGUUGGGGAUUUCCGUACUCGAUUGUCAAGAGGUGAAAUUAUUCCAUCUC